AAGCGAGUGUCACUAUUAUAUGUGCUAAUGACUUUCAGUUUCUAUAGUUGUAGAGAUAUUUGUUUAAUUUUCUUCAUUUGAAACUUGAGACUAAUGAGUUUAGUUUUGUCGAUUUCCUUUCAGUGAAACACUGCUUAUAUUCUUUUUGCCGCAAGUCCUGAACUUCCUACUAUCACUACCUCAGCUAGCUGGUAUUAUACCUUGUCCAAGGCAUCGGCUACCUAAGUUUGACCCUCAGACUGGCUUAUUGACCGGAACAAAUGAUGGGACACUAGUGAACUUUUUCUUAAGGCAAUUGGGCAGAAUGUCGGAACAGUCCCUUUGUGUUGUGCUACUGGUUUUCCAGGCCAUUUGCUGCUGCUUCUGUUUUCUGUUGAGGUGGCUCCUUACAGGAUGGUAUAAAUGAAGCUAACACUAGAAGAGCUAUUUCAUUUUCGACGAAAACCAGAGGAAUGAGUAACUUAAUCCUGCAUGAAUAUUUUGAAGGAAGUGGUAGCCUAUAUAUUCAUGCAUGGAGUUCAAAUGAACUCAUGCUGUUGGAUCUUGUAACCUAUACCAAAUCCGUAGGAGAACUUCGUUAGCUACCGUGUUGGCACGGUUUUUUUUUUUUUUAAAAAUUUAAUUUAGGAGAAUCUAUAGUGUUUCCACACUUCCCCUCUGGCACGGGUCAUACUUAGUUUUCUUUUUCUUAGAUUUUGAUGUUGUAGAACGCGUGUAUCUUGGUAAUUAUGUCCGUAAUGAUCUCGCAUUCUCACCUAAUUCGAUUAUUUUGAAGGCUUGGUAACAUCUUUUAGAAUCAGUAACUUGAAAUCUUUGAA